UAUUGCUUCCGAAAAAUUAAUUAUUUUUUGGAUAUGCAAUACUGAUGAGUCCAUAAUGAGGACGAAACAAUAUGUUGCUCAUCAGAUGCCAAUAUGUUUUUUUUAAUCAUAUUUUCUUAUAGGCACCAUUUUAAUCGCGGCCAACCAGAUGAUAGUAACCAGAUUUCAAUUUAAAGGAAACACGUUCAAAGGGCUUGACAAUGACAAGUCCAUACACCAAACUUUGACCAGAAGACUACAGAUUGAGGGAAAAAUUACAUCUUCCUGGAGUUUUGGAUUGCUCGAGAUUUAAUUAUUGGUCAUUAAAAUGCAAGACACAGAAAUGACAUCCCUUACUGAGGAAUAGAUACGUUCAAAGAUUUCAGCAAAGCAGAUAUUUCUUUUUUGUUGCACAAUAUUUGGAUAUUAAUGUCGCUGCAAAUGGGCCAAACCUCAACAACGGGAAAUGAUUGAAGAGAAGUUACUUCUAUAUUCGCGUUACAAGAGAGAAGGAAUUAUAAUUGUAUUGGGACAGUUAAAAUGUGGAUUUUACGUAGGGACAAAUUCAAUUAUUUUAAUUAUAGAAAGGCUUUCUUUAUAUCCGACAAUAAAUGUUCCUUAACAAACAAAUAUUAUCGGAUACUAAAAAAUCGGUGAAAAUAGGGUUUCUUUAAUUUUUAUAGUU